rnacentral:tRNA from 1 species
GCAGUCUUGGCCGAGUGGUUAAGGCGAUGGACAAGAAAUCCAUUGGGGUCUCCCCGCACAGGUUUGAAUCCUGUCGACUGCG